GCCCCGGUGGCUUAGCGCGGUAGAGCGCCCGAGUGGGCGUCGCGCUACCGCCGCUUGUAAGCGGGAGGUCCCGGGUUCGAAUCCCGGCCGGGGCU
rnacentral:tRNA from 1 species